rnacentral:tRNA from 1 species
GGGCAGGUGCCCGAGUGGCCAAAGGGAACGGACUGUAACUCCGUCGGCUUUAGCCUUCAGUGGUUCGAAUCCACUCCUGCCCACCA